AUUGAACGCUGGCGGCAGGCCUAACACAUGCAAGUCGAGCGGAUGAAGGGAGCUUGCUCCUGGAUUCAGCGGCGGACGGGUGAGUAAUGCCUAGGAAUCUGCCUGGUAGUGGGGGAUAACGUUCGGAAACGGGCGCUAAUACCGCAUACGUCCUGAGGGAGAAAGUGGGGGAUCUUCGGACCUCACGCUAUCAGAUGAGCCUAGGUCGGAUUAGCUAGUUGGUGGGGUAAAGGCCUACCAAGGCGACGAUCCGUAACUGGUCUGAGAGGAUGAUCAGUCACACUGGAACUGAGACGCGGUCCAGACUCCUACGGGAGGCAGCAGUGGGGAAUAUUGGACAAUGGGCGAAAGCCUGAUCCAGCCAUGCCGCGUGUGUGAAGAAGGUCUUCGGAUUGUAAAGCACUUUAAGUUGGGAGGAAGGGCAGUAAGUUAAUACCUUGCUGUUUUGACGUUACCAACAGAAUAAGCACCGGCUAACUUCGUG
rnacentral:rRNA from 1 species